GGUGGAUGCCCUGGCAGUCAGAGGCGAUGAAGGGCGUGCUAAUCUGCGAUAAGCGCCGGUAAGGUGAUAUGAACCGUUAUAACCGGCGAUACCCGAAUGGGGAAACCCAGUGUGAUUCGUCACACUAUCAUUAACUGAAUCCAUAGGUUAAUGAGGCGAACCGGGGGAACUGAAACAUCUAAGUACCCCGAGGAAAAGAAAUCAACCGAGAUUCCCCCAGUAGCGGCGAGCGAACGGGGAGGAGCCCAGAGCCUGAAUCAGCAUGUGUGUUAGUGGAAGCGUCUGGAAAGGCGCGCGAUACAGGGUGACAGCCCCGUACACAAAAGCGCAUGUGCUGUGAGCUCGAUGAGUAGGGCGGGACACGUGGUAUCCUGUCUGAAUAUGGGGGGACCAUCCUCCAAGGCUAAAUACUCCUGACUGACCGAUAGUGAACCAGUACCGUGAGGGAAAGGCGAAAAGAACCCCGGCGAGGGGAGUGAAAAAGAACCUGAAACCGUGUACGUACAAGCAGUGGGAGCACCCUUUGGGUGUGACUGCGUACCUUUUGUAUAAUGGGUCAGCGACUUAUAUUCUGUAGCAAGGUUAACCGAAUAGGGGAGCCGGAGGGAAACCGAGUCUUAACCGGGCGUUAAGUUGCAGGGUAUAGACCCGAAACCCGGUGAUCUAGCCAUGGGCAGGUUGAAGGUUGGGUAACACUAACUGGAGGACCGAACCGACUAAUGUUGAAAAAUUAGCGGAUGACCUGUGGCUGGGGGUGAAAGGCCAAUCAAACCGGGAGAUAGCUGGUUCUCCCCGAAAGCUAUUUAGGUAGCGCCUCGUGAAUUCAUCUCCGGGGGUAGAGCACUGUUUCGGCUAGGGGGCCAUCCCGGCUUACCAACCCGAUGCAAACUGCGAAUACCGGAGAAUGUUAUCACGGGAGACACACGGCGGGUGCUAACGUCCGUCGUGAAGAGGGAAACAACCCAGACCGCCAGCUAAGGUCCCAAAGUCAUGGUUAAGUGGGAAACGAUGUGGGAAGGCCCAGACAGCCAGGAUGUUGGCUUAGAAGCAGCCAUCAUUUAAAGAAAGCGUAAUAGCUCACUGGUCGAGUCGGCCUGCGCGGAAGAUGUAACGGGGCUAAACCAUGCACCGAAGCUGCGGCAGCGACACUGUGUGUUGUUGGGUAGGGGAGCGUUCUGUAAGCCUGUGAAGGUGUGUCGUGAGGCAUGCUGGAGGUAUCAGAAGUGCGAAUGCUGACAUAAGUAACGAUAAAGCGGGUGAAAAGCCCGCUCGCCGGAAGACCAAGGGUUCCUGUCCAACGUUAAUCGGGGCAGGGUGAGUCGACCCCUAAGGCGAGGCCGAAAGGCGUAGUCGAUGGGAAACGGGUUAAUAUUCCCGUACUUGGUGUUACUGCGAAGGGGGGACGGAGAAGGCUAUGUUGGCCGGGCGACGGUUGUCCCGGUUUAAGCGUGUAGGUGUGUGUUCCAGGUAAAUCCGGUUCACUUUAACACUGAGGCGUGACGACGAGGCACUACGGUGCUGAAGCAACAAAUGCCCUGCUUCCAGGAAAAGCCUCUAAGCAUCAGGUAACAUCAAAUCGUACCCCAAACCGACACAGGUGGUCAGGUAGAGAAUACCAAGGCGCUUGAGAGAACUCGGGUGAAGGAACUAGGCAAAAUGGUGCCGUAACUUCGGGAGAAGGCACGCUGACACGUAGGUGAAGUGAUUUACUCAUGGAGCUGAAGUCAGUCGAAGAUACCAGCUGGCUGCAACUGUUUAUUAAAAACACAGCACUGUGCAAACACGAAAGUGGACGUAUACGGUGUGACGCCUGCCCGGUGCCGGAAGGUUAAUUGAUGGGGUCAGCGCAAGCGAAGCUCCUGAUCGAAGCCCCGGUAAACGGCGGCCGUAACUAUAACGGUCCUAAGGUAGCGAAAUUCCUUGUCGGGUAAGUUCCGACCUGCACGAAUGGCGUAAUGAUGGCCAGGCUGUCUCCACCCGAGACUCAGUGAAAUUGAACUCGCUGUGAAGAUGCAGUGUACCCGCGGCAAGACGGAAAGACCCCGUGAACCUUUACUAUAGCUUGACACUGAACAUUGAGCCUUGAUGUGUAGGAUAGGUGGGAGGCUUUGAAGUGUGGACGCCAGUCUGCAUGGAGCCGACCUUGAAAUACCACCCUUUAAUGUUUGAUGUUCUAACGUGGACCCGUUACCCGGGUUGCGGACAGUGUCUGGUGGGUAGUUUGACUGGGGCGGUCUCCUCCUAAAGAGUAACGGAGGAGCACGAAGGUUGGCUAAUCCUGGUCGGACAUCAGGAGGUUAGUGCAAUGGCAUAAGCCAGCUUGACUGCGAGCGUGACGGCGCGAGCAGGUGCGAAAGCAGGUCAUAGUGAUCCGGUGGUUCUGAAUGGAAGGGCCAUCGCUCAACGGAUAAAAGGUACUCCGGGGAUAACAGGCUGAUACCGCCCAAGAGUUCAUAUCGACGGCGGUGUUUGGCACCUCGAUGUCGGCUCAUCACAUCCUGGGGCUGAAGUAGGUCCCAAGGGUAUGGCUGUUCGCCAUUUAAAGUGGUACGCGAGCUGGGUUUAGAACGUCGUGAGACAGUUCGGUCCCUAUCUGCCGUGGGCGCUGGAGAACUGAGGGGGGCUGCUCCUAGUACGAGAGGACCGGAGUGGACGCAUCACUGGUGUUCGGGUUGUCAUGCCAAUGGCACUGCCCGGUAGCUAAAUGCGGAAGAGAUAAGUGCUGAAAGCAUCUAAGCACGAAACUUGCCCCGA
rnacentral:rRNA from 1 species